GAGGGUCUGGUUCUGUACAACCAUCCACCAGUAGUGUUGAUGUUAAUGAUGACAUCACUCAAUGUACAUCAGUAGCCCUGUAGGCACAUCUGGCUUCCAAGCCAACAGCAGCUCCCUAUCAAAGCCGCAGCAGAAGGCUUCGAAUUCCUGCAGAUCCAUAUAAGAGCUUCAGCCCAUCACACUGCGCCUUUAAACUAUGGAUAUAUGUAUGUAAAAUUAUAUGCAUUGCUACUAUGUAUAAAUCUGCCAAUAAAUAUAUCAGUAGCAGUUUUUCUUACUCACUCUUAUUGUCUCUCACUCUGUCACUCUUACUAUCUCUUGCACUCACUCACUAUCUCUCUCUCUCUCUCUCUCUCUCUCUCUCUCUC